GACGGAGGAUGCAAGUGUUAUCCGGAAUCACUGGGCGUAAAGCGUCUGUAGGUGGUUUAAUAAGUCACUGUUAAAUCUUGAGGCUCAACCUCAAAAUCGCAGUCGAAACUAUUAGGCUAGAGUAUAGUAGGGGUAAAGGGAAUUCCAGUGGAGCGGUGAAUGCGUAGAGAUGGAAAGAACACCGAUGGCGAAGGCACUUUACUGGGCUAUUACUAACACUCAGAGACGAAAGCUAGGGUAGCAAUGG
rnacentral:rRNA from 1 species